UACCCCGGACCGGGUGGACCACGAAGAG
rnacentral:sRNA from 1 species